rnacentral:rRNA from 1 species
CCAAUAGCGUAUAUUAAAGUUGUUGCAGUUAAAAAGCUCGUAGUUGAAUUUCGAGGUUUGCUCAUUGGUCAGGCUUAAUUGUGUGUACUGGUGAGAUAAAUCUCUACCUUCUGAGGAACUUUCAUGACAUUUAUUUGGUGUGAUGGGAAAUAAGGACUGUUACUAUGAAAAAAUUAGAGUGUUUAAAGAAGACUAACGUCUGAAUACAUUAGCAUGGAAUAAUGAAAUAGGACGGACUGAUUCUAUUUCGUUGGUUUCUAGGAUCACCGUAAUGAUUAAUAGGGAUAGUUGGGGGCAUUAGUAUUCAAUUGUCAGAGGUGAAAUUCUUGGAUUUAUUGAAGACUAACUACUGCGAAAGCAUUUGCCAAGGAUGUUUUCAUUAAUCAAGAACGAAAGUUAGGGGAUCGAAGACGAUCAGAUACCGUCGUAGUCUUAACCAUAAACUAUGCCGACUAGGGAUCGGACGAAGUUAAUUUUAUAAUGACGCGUUCGGCACCUUACG